GCACGACCCAGAUUGAGUGUUUUGCAUACCAGAUUGUGUUGCUUGGGGACAUGAUCUGGAUCGCCUAAUUAAGCAAUCCGAUUCACUUGGCACAUAAUAAAAGGAAAAGCGAACAUGAGGGAAGAAGAUUAAGGAAUUAAAGAAUUGUAACUGAAAUUGUUCAUUUGUUCUCAGUUUUUCUUCUCUUUUCUUUUCUUUUCUUUAAUAAAAUAACAGUACCAGUAAUGUUCAUAGACAUCACAUGAAGAGUUCUUACUUCUCAGAAGAAAGGGGAUGAAGAAGAUUAGUCUUUGUGAUAGACAAAGAAAAGAAGAAACGACCAAGAAAAAAAUUUUGAGACAGUUUAAACAAAAGGUGAUGAAGAAGAAGAAGAUUAAGAGAUGAAACAAAUGGAGUUGAAAAAAGGGAGUUUGGUUGGUGUAGG
rnacentral:misc_RNA from 1 species